UACGGAGGGGGCAAGCGUUGUCCGGAUUUAUUGGGUUUAAAGGGUGCGUAGGCGGAUUGGUAAGUCAGUGGUGAAAGUUUGCAGCUCAACUGUAAAAUUGCCAUUGAUACUGUCAGUCUUGAGUGCAGUCGAGGUGGUUGGAAUGCGUAGUGUAGCGGUGAAAUGCUUAGAUAUUACGCAGAACACCAAUAGCGAAGGCAGAUCGCCAGGCUGUAACUGACGCUGAGGCACGAAAGUGUGGGGAUCGAACAGG
rnacentral:rRNA from 1 species